UGGAGAGUUUGAUCCUGGCUCAGAUUGAACGCUGGCGGCAGGCCUAACACAUGCAAGUCGAGCGGCAGCGACUUAACUGAACCUUCGGGGAACGUUAAGGGCGGCGAGCGGCGGACGGGUGAGUAAUGCCUGGGAAUAUGCCCUGAUGUGGGGGAUAACUAUUGGAAACGAUAGCUAAUACCGCAUAAUCUCUUCGGAGCAAAGAGGGGGACCUUCGGGCCUCUCGCGUCAGGAUUAGCCCAGGUGGGAUUAGCUUGUUGGUGAGGUAAUGGCUCACCAAGGCAACGAUCCCUAGCUGGUCUGAGAGGAUGAUCAGCCACACUGGAACUGAGACACGGUCCAGACUCCUACGGGAGGCAGCAGUGGGGAAUAUUGCACAAUGGGGGAAACCCUGAUGCAGCCAUGCCGCGUGUGUGAAGAAGGCCUUCGGGUUGUAAAGCACUUUCAGUAGGGAGGAAGGUAGUGUAGUUAACACCUGCACUAUUUGACGUUACCUACAGAAGAAGCACCGGCUAACUCCGUGCCAGCAGCCGCGGUA
rnacentral:rRNA from 2 species